AUGGCGACCGGCGCACGGGUGAGUAACACGUAUCCAACCUGCCGAUGACUCGGGGAUAGCCUUUCGAAAGAAAGAUUAAUACCCGAUGGCAUAGUUCUUCCGCAUGGUAGAACUAUUAAAGAAUUUCGGUCAUCGAUGGGGAUGCGUUCCAUUAGGUUGUUGGCGGGGUAACGGCCCACCAAGCCUUCGAUGGAUAGGGGUUCUGAGAGGAAGGUCCCCCACAUUGGAACUGAGACACGGCCCAGACUCCUACGGGAGGCAGCAUG
rnacentral:rRNA from 1 species